rnacentral:lncRNA from 1 species
GCAAAGGUAGCACUCGAAGAUAGGUAUUCGCAGAUGAACAAACUUGUUGCGGAUUUGGAGACUUUUCUAAGGUCAAGAACCGGAACUCUGGAAGCAAAAGACAUGAAAGAAGCAGAAUCCCUUAGACAGGUUGCUGCGUCAGUUAAUGUUGAAGAAAUCAAGGAAUUUACAUAUGAGCCCCCAAAACCGGAUGACAUUUUUGCUGUUUUUGAAGAUGUAGCUUUAGCUGAAGCCAAUGAAAGGGAAAUCGAACCAUGUGUUGCACAUAGUCCUGCCAGCUAUUCCUCGAAAGUUCAUAUGGUGAGUCCUGAAAUUAACAUGAUGAGAAAAGACAUCAUUCCGAGACAUCCAAAUGCAUAUGUUGAUCAGAGUGAUGAGAUAGAAGAAGAUGAGAGUGGGUGGGAAACUGUUAGCCAUCUUGAAGAUCAGGGCUCGAGUUAUUCACCUGAAGGGAGUGAUGCGUCUGUAAACAAGAAUUGCCGGGGCAGUAAUUUCUCGGGUAGUGGAAUCGAAUGGGAAGAAAAUUCAUGCAGAGAUACAGAUACACCAGACACGGAAAUUAGUGAAGUUUGUUCGUUACCGGCUAGAC